GACGGACGGUGCAAGCGUUGCUCGGAAUCACUGGGCGUAAAGGGUGCGUAGGCGGCUUCUUAAGUCUGGUGUGAAAGCCCAGGGCUCAGCUCUGGAAGUGCACUAGAAACUGGGAAGCUUGAGUACCGGAGGGGAGAGUGGAAUUCCUGGUGUAGCGGUGAAAUGCGUAGAUACCACCAAGAACCCCGAUUGCGUAGGCAGCUCGCUGAGCCGAAACUGACGCUGAGGCACGAAAGCGUGGGGAGCGAACAGG
rnacentral:rRNA from 1 species